CAGACCACUGUGACCUGUGGAGAAGUGUUUCGUCUCCAAAACAAGUACCAUGAUAUCCACCCCAGGGGAGUGUUGCAAAGCAAUAAAUAAGCAGACAGUCUUGGUAAGGGGCGGGAGGAACGGACGCAACAAGGAGAAAGGAAGCAACGGAAGGUCUUUGGCUGCUAAAAAAAUGUAACUGACAAAGAUUCCAGGGCUGUUUGUAUUUUUCUUCCUCUAU